GGUAAGGUGGCUGAGAA
rnacentral:tRNA from 1 species